rnacentral:rRNA from 1 species
ACGGGAGGCAGCAGUGGGGAAUAUUGCACAAUGGGCGCAAGCCUGAUGCAGCGAUGCCGCGUGAGGGAAGAAGGUUUUCGGAUUGUAAACCUCUGUCAACAGGGACGAAAAUGACGGUACCUGUGAAGGAAGCUCCGGCUAACUACGUGCCAGCAGCCGCGGUAAUACGUAGGGAGCGAGCGUUAUCCGGAUUCAUUGGGCGUAAAGCGCGCGUAGGCGGCUUGCUAAGCGGAACCUCUAAUCCGAGGGCUCAACCCCCGGCCGGGUUCCGAACUGGCAGGCUCGAGUGCGGUAGGGGCAAGUGGAAUUCCAUGUGUAGCGGUGGAAUGCGCAGAUAUAUGGAAGAACACCGAUGGCGAAGGCAGCUUGCUGGGCCGACACUGACGCUGAGGUGCGAAAGCGUGGGGAGCGAACAGGAUUAGAUACCCUGGUA